rnacentral:tRNA from 1 species
GCGCCUGUAGCUCAAUGGAUAGAGUACUUGGCUUCGAACCAAGGGGUUGCAGGUUCGAGUCCUGCCAGGCGCGCCA